ensembl:ncRNA T19E7.23 ncRNA
UUAGAGAGUGUUGAUUUGAUAGAGGAUACUUAUUGUUAGACAAAUACAGAAAGAAGAACACGGAGCACCAGCACAUUUAGACAAAAAAUGGCGGCGAGUGUGUGUAUGUGCAAGUUGAAGAACAAUAGUACAUGCGCAAACAUACAG